GAGUUUGAUCGUAGCUCAGAUUGAACGCUGGCGGCAUGCUUUACACAUGCAAGUCGAACGGCAGCGCGGGGCAACCUGGCGGCGAGUGGCGAACGGGUGAGUAAUAUAUCGGAACGUACCCAAGAGUGGGGGAUAACGUAGCGAAAGUUACGCUAAUACCGCAUACGAUCUAAGGAUGAAAGUGGGGGAUCGCAAGACCUCAUGCUCCUGGAGCGGCCGAUAUCUGAUUAGCUAGUUGGUGAGGUAAAGGCUCACCAAGGCGACGAUCAGUAGCUGGUCUGAGAGGACGACCAGCCACACUGGAACUGAGACACGGUCCAGACUCCUACGGGAGGCAGCAGUGGGGAAUUUUGGACAAUGGGCGCAAGCCUGAUCCAGCAAUGCCGCGUGAGUGAAGAAGGCCUCGGUUGUAAGUACGUCUUUGUUCUA
rnacentral:rRNA from 1 species